AGGAAAGAACACAAACCCUAGGUGGAAAAAUUGAAGAAAAAGUGUGGGAUUUCAAGGAUUAAGCUAAUUUAUGGAAGGGCAUUUUAGUAAUUUCCAAGGGAGUGGAUAAGCUUGGGCCAUAAAUAUCCUUUCCUUCCAGCAGCUUCUUGGGAUUUCCAGCAGCUUCCUCUUCUUGUUCUCUUCCCUCUCACAUUUCUUCAAUUUCUCCAUGGAAGCUUGAUGUGAAGCUUUCAUAACUUUCUCUCUCUAGCUUUAAUUUUCAUACCCUGGUGCCCUUUUGACUAGAACCCUUGUAUUUUUCUACUCUCUCACUUUAAAACCCUUGAAAAUGAUGAAAAUCUUGUUUCCAUACUUUCUCACUAGUUAGGUGUUUUAGAGAGAGAAAGAGGAAGCUUUAUUAAUAGCUUGAGAGCUUUUAGAAAGAAGUUCAAAGUUACAAAGCUAUCAAGGUGAGUAGUAAACUAGUAUUGGGUUUUAAGUGUUGAGAAUGAUUAUAGAUUUGAUUUGUGAAUAUUUUGUAGUUAAGAUUGUUAAUUCACUUUGGAGUGAUAGGAAAGUGAAAAUGGAUGGCCAUUUAAAUGGCAAUUGAAAGCUAGCUAAAACAUAGCUUUUAGGGUUUAUAGUAUGUAAAUUGACAUUAUGGAAAUGUUAAUUUGAUGGUAGGUGCUAACGAAGCCCCAUCACCCCAAUUGGAUCAUUAGGGGAAUUAAGAGUUGGCUAAAGGCUCAACAAAUACCGGUGAGUGGACUUGCAUUUCAAACUUGUUUUAGGGAAUAUGAAAGAUUCUAUCUAACUUGUCUUAGAAAAUGUACCUUGGGAACAAGCUUUUAGUAAAAUGAUUUUAUAUUGUGAAAAUGUGCUAUACAAUGGUUUAUGUGUUAUCACAAUAUGAUAAAAUGCAUGAUAUGCAUUGGAUGCUUCUUUGCAUGUUGAUGUGGACCGAGCUAUAUGCGAGUAGGAGUGCACAUAAGCCGUUGCUAACCCAGCUAUGUGCGAGUAGGAGUGCACAUAAGUCGUUGCUGAUCCGGCUAUGUGCGAGUAGGAGUGCACAUAAGCCGUUGCUGACCCGAUUAUGUGUGAGUGGGAGUGCACAUAAGCCGUUGCUGACCCAGUUAUAUGCGAGUGGGAGUACGCAUAAGCUAUUGCAUAUGAGAUGAUGAUGUUGGGAGAGUGUACAUGAUGAUUGAUAUAUAUAUAUAUAUAUACAUAUAUGGUAUAUGGUUGUAAAUGCAAAUAUGUGAGCAUUUGAUUUGUUGAAAUUUGGGAGUUUACAUGUGUUACAUGUUGCUAUUGUUAUUUUAGAAGGAUGGCUUGUUUUAAAGGAAAAUGAGACUUUUUCCUUGAUGUUCUGACUCUCGCUACAGCGAGAUUCAUUUUCGCUGCAGCAAGAAACUCUCGGGUUUGAAGACCUUCACCAGACUUGGUUCUUGCUGCAACGGGAAUGAAGUUCGCUGUAG
rnacentral:lncRNA from 1 species